rnacentral:rRNA from 1 species
GACGAACGCUGGCGGCGUACCUAAUACAUGCAAGUAGAACGCUGAAGAGAGGAGCUUGCUCUUCUUGGAUGAGUUGCGAACGGGUGAGUAACGCGUAGGUAACCUGCCUUGUAGCGGGGGAUAACUAUUGGAAACGAUAGCUAAUACCGCAUAACAAUGGAUGACUCAUGUCAUUUAUUUGAAAGGGGCAAAUGCUCCACUACAAGAUGGACCUGCGUUGUAUUAGCUAGUAGGUGAGGUAACGGCUCACCUAGGCGACGAUACAUAGCCGACCUGAGAGGGUGAUCGGCCACACUGGGACUGAGACACGGCCCAGACUCCUACGGGAGGCAGCAGUAGGGAAUCUUCGGCAAUGGGGGCAACCCUGACCGAGCAACGCCGCGUGAGUGAAGAAGGUCUUCGGAUCGUAAAGCUCUGUUGUAAGUCAAGAACGAGUGUGAGAGUGGAAAGUUCACACUGUGACGGUAGCUUACCAGAAAGGGACGGCUAACUACGUGCCAGCAGCCGCGGUAAUACGUAGGUCCCGAGCGUUGUCCGGAUUUAUUGGGCGUAAAGCGAGCGCAGGCGGUUUGAUAAGUCUGAAGUUAAAGGCUGUGGCUCAACCAUAGUUCGCUUUGGAAACUGUCAAACUUGAGUGCAGAAGGGGAGAGUGGAAUUCCAUGUGUAGCGGUGAAAUGCGUAGAUAUAUGGAGGAACACCGGUGGCGAAAGCGGCUCUCUGGUCUGUAACUGACGCUGAGGCUCGAAAGCGUGGGGAGCGAACAGG